AGCAAAUGACAAGAUCUCCAUCGG
rnacentral:siRNA from 1 species